UAGCGUUCUUUCUCAGACAGUUUAUUUCGUACUGUGUAUUGCACAGUAAGGCCAAAGCAUUUUGCAGC